rnacentral:rRNA from 1 species
UUUUGAAUGGGGGCACCUGCAUCAGUCAUUCCGCGUGAGUGAGAAGGCUUCGGGUUGUAAAGCUCUUUCGCAAGGGAAGAAAACUUAUGAUCGAAUAAAUCAUGAGGUUGACGGUACCUUGAUAAGAAGCACCGGCUAACUACGUGCCAGCAGCCGCGGUAAUACGUAGGGUGCGAGCGUUAAUCGGAAUUACUGGGCGUAAAGCGUGCGCAGGCGGUUUUGUAAGUCGGAUGUGAAAUCCCCGGGCUCAACCUGGGAACUGCGUUCGAAACUGCAAGGCUAGAGUGUGUCAGAGGGGGGUAGAAUUCCACGUGUAGCAGUGAAAUGCGUAGAGAUGUGGAGGAAUACCAAUGGCGAAGGCAGCCCCCUGGGAUAACACUGACGCUCAUGCGCGAAAGCGUGGGGAGCAAACAGGAUUAGAUACCCUGGUAGUCCACGCCCUAAACGAUGUCAACUAGUUGUUGGUAGAGUAAAAUCUAUGAGUAACGUAGCUAACGCGUGAAGUUGACCGCCUGGGGAGUACGGUCGCAAGAUUAAAACUCAAAGGAAUUGACGGGGGCCCGAACAAGCGGUGGAUUAUGUGGAUUAAUUCGAUGCAACGCGAAAAACCUUAACUGGCCUUGACAUGUACCGAAAUUGAGCAGAAGAUGUUCAAGUGCUCGAAAGAGAACG